UACGUAGGCAGCAAGCGUUGUUCGGAGUUACUGGGCGUAAAGGGUGUGUAGGCGGUCUUCUAAGUUUGGUGUGAAAUCUCCCGGCUCAACUGGGAGGGUGCGCCGAAAACUGGGAGGCUAGAGUGCGGGAUGGGAGAGUGGAAUUCCUGGUGUAGCGGUGAAAUGCGUAGAUAUCAGGAGGAACACCGGUGGUGUAGACGGCUCUCUGGACAGUAACUGACGCUGAGACACGAAAGCGUGGGUAGCAAACAGG
rnacentral:rRNA from 1 species